rnacentral:rRNA from 1 species
GCUUAACACAUGCAAGUCGAACGGAAAGGCCCUGCUUUUGUGGGGUGCUCGAGUGGCGAACGGGUGAGUAACACGUGAGUAACCUGCCCUUGACUUUGGGAUAACUUCAGGAAACUGGGGCUAAUACCGGAUAGGAGCUCCUGCUGCAUGGUGGGGGUUGGAAAGUUUCGGCGGUUGGGGAUGGACUCGCGGCUUAUCAGCUUGUUGGUGGGGUAGUGGCUUACCAAGGCUUUGACGGGUAGCCGGCCUGAGAGGGUGACCGGCCACAUUGGGACUGAGAUACGGCCCACACUCCUACGGGAGGCAGCAGUGGGGAAUAUUGCACAAUGGGCGGAAGCCUGAUGCAGCAACGCCGCGUGCGGGAUGACGGCCUUCGGGUUGUAAACCGCUUUCGCCUGUGACGAAGCGUGAGUGACGGUAAUGGGUAAAGAAGCACCGGCUAACUACGUGCCAGCAGCCGCGGUGAUACGUAGGGUGCGAGCGUUGUCCGGAUUUAUUGGGCGUAAAGGGCUCGUAGGUGGUUGAUCGCGUCGGAAGUGUAAUCUUGGGGCUUAACCCUGAGCCGUGCUUUCGAUACGGGUUGACUUGAGGAAGGUAGGGUAGAAUGCAAUUCCUGGAGAAGAGUUGAAAUGCGCAGAUAUCAGGAGGAACACCAGUGGCGAAGGCGGUUCUCUGGGCCUUUCCUGACGCUGAGGAGCGAAAGCGUGGGGAGCGAACAGGCUUAGAUACCCUGGUAGUCCACGCUGUAAACGGUGGGUACUAGGUGUGGGGUCCAUUCCACGGGUUCCGUGCCGUAGCUAACGCUUUAAGUACCCCGCCUGGGGAGUACGGCCGCAAGGCUAAAACUCAAAGGAAUUGACGGGGCCCCGCACAAGCGGCGGAGCAUGCGGAUUAAUUCGAUGCAACGCGUAGAACCUUACCUGGGUUUGACAUGGAUCGGGAGUGCUCAGAGAUGGGUGUGCCUCUUUUGGGGUCGGUUCACAGGUGGUGCAUGGCUGUCGUCAGCUCGUGUCGUGAGAUGUUGGGUUAAGUCCCGCAACGAGCGCAACCCUUGUUCACUGUUGCCAGCACGUUAUGGUGGGGACUCAGUGGAGACCGCCGGGGUCAACUCGGAGGAAGGUGGGGAUGACGUCAAGUCAUCAUGCCCCUUAUGUCCAGGGCUUCACGCAUGCUACAAUGGCUGGUACAGAGAGUGGCGAGCCUGUGAGGGUGAGCGAAUCUCGGAAAGCCGGUCUCAGUUCGGAUUGGGGUCUGCAACUCGACCUCAUGAAGUCGGAGUCGCUAGUAAUCGCAGAUCAGCAACGCUGCGGUGAAUACGUUCCCGGGGCUUGUACACACCGCCCGUCAAGUCAUGAAAGUUGGUAACACCCGAAGCCGGUGGCCUAACCGUUGUGGGGGAGCCGUCGAAGGUGGGACUGGUGAUUAGGACUAAGA